GGUACACUUUGGCGCUAAUUAGCCCCCUUCAUUGCAGAUGGAGCGAGUCCCUCUCGGAGAUGUAGCCUACUAAUCAUCUCUGGAGACAAGAGCACGACUGCACAGGCCCAAAGGAGGCGAGGCCCGGUCCUAUCGUUGAAGGUUCACCCCUAAUUUGGACUACGGUUCAUCAAUCAUCCUCCAUCCGAGACCCACCUGAGACAGACCAGCAGUGUCUGGGAGACGAGCGGUCUUGUUGGCGCCGAGGCUUACCCGGAAUACGGCGGCAGCGAAGAAGGUUCCUCAGAGACGCUGCGGGUAGCGUCGUAACGUGCGGACUGCCGCAUCAGGCUGCUCCUGUGCGCCACCUGCAGCUCCAACUGCAUCUUCUCUUCACACAGACGCAGACAUUCCUCUAAAGCGAGAUAAA